rnacentral:rRNA from 1 species
UACAGAGGGUGCGAGCGUUAAUCGGAAUUACUGGGCGUAAAGCGCACGUAGGCGGCUUGGUAUGUCGGGUGUGAAAUCCCCGGGCUCAACCUGGGAACUGCAUCCGAAACUGCCUUGCUAGAGUAUGGGAGAGGGAAGUGGAAUUUCCGGUGUAGCGGUGAAAUGCGUAGAUAUCGGAAGGAACAUCAGUGGCGAAGGCGACUUCCUGGACCAAUACUGACGCUCAGGUGCGAAAGCGUGGGGAGCAAACAGGGAUUAAGAUACCCUGG